rnacentral:rRNA from 1 species
AGAUUGAACGCUGGCGGCAUGCCUUACACAUGCAAGUCGAACGGCAGCACGGGAGCAAUCCUGGUGGCGAGUGGCGAACGGGUGAGUAAUACAUCGGAACGUGCCCAGUAGUGGGGGAUAGCCCGGCGAAAGCCGGAUUAAUACCGCAUACGACCUACGGGAGAAAGCGGGGGAUCGCAAGACCUCGCGCUAUUGGAGCGGCCGAUGGCAGAUUAGGUAGUUGGUGAGGUAAAAGCUCACCAAGCCUGCGAUCUGUAGCUGGUCUGAGAGGACGACCAGCCACACUGGGACUGAGACACGGCCCAGACUCCUACGGGAGGCAGCAGUGGGGAAUUUUGGACAAUGGGCGCAAGCCUGAUCCAGCCAUGCCGC